GAUGAACGCUGGCGGCGUGCCUAAUACAUGCAAGUCGAGCGAACAGACGAGGAGCUUGCUCCUCUGACGUUAGCGGCGGACGGGUGAGUAACACGUGGAUAACCUACCUAUAAGACUGGGAUAACUUCGGGAAACCGGAGCUAAUACCGGAUAAUAUAUUGAACCGCAUGGUUCAAUAGUGAAAGACGGUUUUGCUGUCACUUAUAGAUGGAUCCACGCCGCAUUAGCUAGUUGGUAAGGUAAAGGCUUACCAAGGCAACGAUGCGUAGCCGACCUGAGAGGGUGAUCUGCCACACUGGAACUGAGACACGGUCCAGACUCCUACGGGAGGCAGCAGUAGGGAAUCUUCCGCAAUGGGCGAAAGCCUGACGGAGCAACGCCGCGUGAGUGAUGAAGUUCUUCUGAUCGUAAAACUCUGUUAUUAGGGAAGAACAAAUGUGUAAGUAACUAUGCACGUCUUGACGGUACCUAAUCAGAAAGCCACGGCUAACUACGUG
rnacentral:rRNA from 1 species